GAUGAACGCUGGCGGCGUGCCUAAUACAUGCAAGUCGAGCGAACAGACGAGGAGCUUGCUCCUCUGACGUUAGCGGCGGACGGGUGAGUAACACGUGGAUAACCUACCUAUAAGACUGGGAUAACUUCGGGAAACCGGAGCUAAUACCGGAUAAUAUAUUGAACCGCAUGGUUCAAUAGUGAAAGACGGUUUUGCUGUCACUUAUAGAUGGAUCCGCGCCGCAUUAGCUAGUUGGUAAGGUAACGGCUUACCAAGGCAACGAUGCGUAGCCGACCUGAGAGGGUGAUCGGCCACACUGGAACUGAGACACGGUCCAGACUCCUACGGGAGGCAGCAGUAGGGAAUCUUGCGCAAUGGGCGAAAGCUUGACGGAGCAACGCCGCGUGAGUGAUGAAGGUCUUCGGAUCGUAAAGCUCUGUUAUUAGGGAAGAACAAAUGUGUAAGUAACUAUGCACGUCUUGACGGUACCUAAUCAGAAAGCCACGGCUAACUACGUG
rnacentral:rRNA from 1 species